rnacentral:rRNA from 1 species
GAUGAACGCUGGCGGCGUGCCUAAUACAUGCAAGUCGAGCGAACAGACGAGGAGCUUGCUCCUCUGACGUUAGCGGCGGACGGGUGAGUAACACGUGGAUAACCUACCUAUAAGACUGGGAUAACUUCGGGAAACCGGAGCUAAUACCGGAUAAUAUAUUGAACCGCAUGGUUCAAUAGUGAAAGACGGUUUUGCUGUCACUUAUAGAUGGAUCCGCGCCGCAUUAGCUAGUUGGUAAGGUAACGGCUUACCAAGGCAACGAUGCGUAGCCGACCUGAGAGGGUGAUCGGCCACACUGGAACUGAGACCCGGUCCAGACUCCUAAGGGAGGCAGCAGUAGGGAAUCUUCCGCAAUGGGCGAAAGCCUGACGGAGCAACGCCGCGUGAGUGAUGAAGGUCUUCGGAUCGUAAAACUCUGUUAUUAGGGAAGAACAAAUGUGUAAGUAACUAUGCACGUCUUGACGGUACCUAAUCAGAAAGCCACGGCUAACUACGUG